AUUGAACGCUGGCGGCGUGCCUAACACAUGCAAGUCGAGCGGUAACAGGUGUAGCAAUACAUGCUGACGAGCGGCGGACGGGUGAGUAAUGUUUGGGAAUCUGCCUAUUAGUGGGGGACAACCCGGGGAAACUCGGGCUAAUACCGCAUACGCUCUACGAAGGAAAGCCGGGGACCGCAAGGCCUGGCGCUAGUAGAUGAGCCCAAAUUGGAUUAGCUAGUUGGUGAGGUAACGGCUCACCAAGGCGACGAUCCAUGACUGGUUUGAGAGAACGACCAGUCACACCGGAACUGAGACACGGUCCGGACUCCUACGGGAGGCAGCAGUGGGGAAUAUUGGACAGUGGGCGAAAGCCUGAUCCAGCGACGCCGCGUGGGUGAAGAAGGCCUGCGGGUUGUAAAGCCCUUUCGGUGGGGAUAAAAAGCCUUGGUUUAACGCACCAGGGUCUUGAUCUAACCCAAGAAAGAAGCACCGGCUAACUCUGUGCCAGCCGCCGCGGUAA
rnacentral:rRNA from 1 species